GCAGCCACCUUUUGAAACGCGUCAAAGCGUAACUUUAACACCCAAAAUACCAUUAAUUUUUAUGAACCCCUAAUUUAUAAUGAAUGACUCCAUAUUUAUAUGGAAGACACCAUGCUAGGAUUAGUAACAAGAAUUUAUAAUUCUCCAAAAUGCAAAUAUAAACCAACAUGGAUAGACCAUUGGUAGUUACCGAACCUAAAUUUAAUGCAAUAACAUCCACAAGAAAACUCUGCAGCACUCACUCGUUAACCUAACACCAGCGCAUUACAGGAAAGAUUCAAAAAAAGAGAAGGAAUUCGGCAAAUGACGGCCCCGCCUGUUUACCAAAAACAUCGCCUCUUGACUUAUAAUAAGAGGUCUAGCCUGCCCAGUGAAUUUUAAACGGCCGCGGUAUCCUAACCGCGCGAAGGUAGCAUAAUCACUUGUUCUUUAAAUGGGGACUCGUAUCAACGGCAUCACGAGGGUUUUACUGUCUCCUCUUUUUGAUCAGUGAAAUUGAUCUUCCCGUGAAGAAGCGGGAAUAUUUUUAUAAGACGAGAAGACCCCAUGGAGCUUUAAACCAAAUAACAACUUAACCACUUAUCCCAUAAUAAAUUUAACCCCUGUUAUAAGGUUUUUGGUUGGGGUGACCGCGGAGUAAAGCACAUCCUCCACGACGGAAAGAAUAAAAUCUUUAUUUAAGAACCACACUUCUAGAAAUUAGUAUACUAACGUUUACUGACCCGACAAUCGAUCAACGGACCAAGUUACCCUGGGGAUAACAGCGCAAUCUACUUCGAGAGCUCAUAUCGACAAGUAGGCUUACGACCUCGAUGUUGGAUCAGGGUAUCCCGGUGGUGCAGCCGCUACCGAAGGUUCGUUUGUUCAACGAUUAAAACCCUACGUGAUCUG
rnacentral:rRNA from 1 species